GACGAACGCUGGCGGCGUGCCUAACACAUGCAAGUCGAACGGAAAGGCCCUGCUUUUGUGCGGUGCUCGAGUGGCGAACGGGGGAGUAACACGUGAGUAACCUGCCCUUGACUUUGUGAUAACUUCAGGAAACUUGGGCUAAUAUCGGAUAGGAGUUCUUGCUGCAUGUUGUGGGUUGGAAAGUUUCGGCGGUUGGGUCUGUACUCGCGGCGUAUCAGCUUGUUGGUGGGGUAGUGGCUUACCAAGGCUUUGACGGGUAGCCGGCCUGAGAGGGUGGACGGCCACAAUGGGACUGAGAUACGGCCCAGACUAGUACGGGAGGCAGCAGUGGAGAAUAUUGCACAAUAAGCGGAAGCAUGAUGCAGCAACGCAGCGUGCGGGAUAACGGCCUUCGGGUUGUAAACCGAUUUGGGAGGUGACGAAGCGUGAAUGACGGUAAUGGGUAAAGAAGCACCGGCUAACUACGUG
rnacentral:rRNA from 1 species